AACGAACGCUGGCGGCAGGCCUAACACAUGCAAGUCGAACGCCCCGCAAGGGGAGUGGCAGACGGGUGAGUAACGCGUGGGAAUUUCCCCCAAGGUUCGGAAUAACUGAGGGAAACUUCAGCUAAUACCGAAUGGUACCGAGAGGUUAAAGAUUUAUCGCCUUGGGAUGAGCCCGCGUUGGAUUAGCUAGUUGGUGAGGUAACGGCUCACCAAGGCUGUGAUCCAUAGCUGGUCUGAGAGGACGACCAGCCACACUGGGACUGAGACACGGCCCAGACUCCUACGGGAGGCAGCAGUGGGGAAUCUUGGACAAUGGGCGCAAGCCUGAUCCAGCCAUGCCGCGUGGGCGAUGAAGGUCUUCGGAUUGUAAAGCCCUUUUGGCGGGGACGAUAAUGACGGUACCCGCAGAAUAAGCUCCGGCCAACUUCGUGCCAGCAGCCGCCGUAAUAC
rnacentral:rRNA from 1 species